rnacentral:rRNA from 1 species
CUUGGUCAUUUAGAGGAAGUAAAAGUCGUAACAAGGUUUCCGUAGGCGAACCUGCGGAAGGAUCAUUCACAAACGAGUGUUUUAUGGCACUCUUUAAAAAUCCAUAUCCACCUUGUGUGCAAUGUUUGUUGGGAAAGUCUUUUCUUUCCCUUCAUAAAUAUCAACCUAUAUCUUUAACAACAUUCGUCUGAUAACAUAUUAUGAAUAUACUUAAUUCAAAAUAUAACUUUCAACAACGGAUCUCUUGGCUCUCGCAUCGAUGAAGAACGCAGCGAAAUGCGAUACGUAAUGUGAAUUGCAGAAUUCAGUGAAUCAUCGAAUCUUUGAACGCAUAUUGCGCUCUUUGGUAUUCCGAAGAGCAUGCUUGUUUGGGUAUCAGUAAACACCUCAACCUCUCUUUUUGACAAAAAAGGGAGGGUGGACUUGAGCUAUCCCAACGACCUUCACCGGCAGGCGGGCGGCUUGAAAUGCAGGUGCAGCUGGACUUUUAUCUGAGCUAAAAGCAUAUCUAUUUAGUCCUCGUCAAACAGGAUUAUUACUUUUGCUGCAGCUAACAUAAAGGAUAAUUGUCCUCUUUGCUGACUGAUGCAGGAUUUUACGACACUUUAUGUGUUGUUCAACUCGAUCUCAAAUCAAGUAAGACUACCCGCUGAACUUAAGCAUAUCAAUAAGCGGAGGA